rnacentral:rRNA from 1 species
UGCAAGUCGAGCGAACGGACGAGAAGCUUGCUUCUCUGAUGUUAGCGGCGGACGGGUGAGUAACACGUGGAUAACCUACCUAUAAGACUGGGAUAACUUCGGGAAACCGGAGCUAAUACCGGAUAAUAUUUUGAACCGCAUGGUUCAAAAGUGAAAGACGGUCUUGCUGUCACUUAUAGAUGGAUCCGCGCUGCAUUAGCUAGUUGGUAAGGUAACGGCUUACCAAGGCAACGAUGCAUAGCCGACCUGAGAGGGUGAUCGGCCACACUGGAACUGAGACACGGUCCAGACUCCUACGGGAGGCAGCAGUAGGGAAUCUUCCGCAAUGGGCGAAAGCCUGACGGAGCAACGCCGCGUGAGUGAUGAAGGUCUUCGGAUCGUAAAACUCUGUUAUUAGGGAAGAACAUAUGUGUAAGUAACUGUGCACAUCUUGACGGUACCUAAUCAGAAAGCCACGGCUAACUACGUGCCAGCAGCCGCGGUAAUACGUAGGUGGCAAGCGUUAUCCGGAAUUAUUGGGCGUAAAGCGCGCGUAGGCGGUUUUUUAAGUCUGAUGUGAAAGCCCACGGCUCAACCGUGGAGGGUCAUUGGAAACUGGAAAACUUGAGUGCAGAAGAGGAAAGUGGAAUUCCAUGUGUAGCGGUGAAAUGCGCAGAGAUAUGGAGGAACACCAGUGGCGAAGGCGACUUUCUGGUCUGUAACUGACGCUGAUGUGCGAAAGCGUGGGGAUCAAACAGGAUUAGAUACCCUGGUAGUCCACGCCGUAAACGAUGAGUGCUAAGUGUUAGGGGGUUUCCGCCCCUUAGUGCUGCAGCUAACGCAUUAAGCACUCCGCCUGGGGAGUACGACCGCAAGGUUGAAACUCAAAGGAAUUGACGGGGACCCGCACAAGCGGUGGAGCAUGUGGUUUAAUUCGAAGCAACGCGAAGAACCUUACCAAAUCUUGACAUCCUUUGACAACUCUAGAGAUAGAGCCUUCCCCUUCGGGGGACAAAGUGACAGGUGGUGCAUGGUUGUCGUCAGCUCGUGUCGUGAGAUGUUGGGUUAAGUCCCGCAACGAGCGCAACCCUUAAGCUUAGUUGCCAUCAUUAAGUUGGGCACUCUAAGUUGACUGCCGGUGACAAACCGGAGGAAGGUGGGGAUGACGUCAAAUCAUCAUGCCCCUUAUGAUUUGGGCUACACACGUGCUACAAUGGACAAUACAAAGGGCAGCGAAACCGCGAGGUCAAGCAAAUCCCAUAAAGUUGUUCUCAGUUCGGAUUGUAGUCUGCAACUCGACUACAUGAAGCUGGAAUCGCUAGUAAUCGUAGAUCAGCAUGCUACGGUGAAUACGUUCCCGGGUCUUGUACACACCGCCCGUCACACCACGAGAGUUUGUAACACCCGAAGCCGGUGGAGUAACCUUUUAGGAGCUAGCCGUCGAAGGUG